CUUGACUCUGGGAUAAGCCUGGGAAACUGGGUCUAAUACUGGAUACGACCUUCCAUCGCAUGGUGGUUGGUGGAAAGCUUUUGUGGUUUUGGAUGGACUCGCGGCCUAUCAGCUUGUUGGUGGGGUAAUGGCCUACCAAGGCGACGACGGGUAGCCGGCCUGAGAGGGUGGACGGCCACACUGGGACUGAGACACGGCCCAGACUCCUACGGGAGGCAGCAGUGGGGAAUAUUGCACAAUGGGCGCAAGCCUGAUGCAGCGACGCCGCGUGAGGGAUGAAGGCCUUCGGGUUGUAAACCUCUUUCAGUAGGGAAGAAGCGAAAGUGACGGUACCUGCAGAAGAAGCGCCGGCUAACUACGUGCCAGCAGCCGCGGUAAUACGUAGGGCGCAAGCGUUAUCCGGAAUUAUUGGGCGUAAAGAGCUCGUAGGCGGUUUGUCGCGUCUGCCGUGAAAGUCCGGGGCUUAACUCCGGAUCUGCGGUGGGUACGGGCAGACUUGAGUGAUGUACGGGAGACUGGAAUUCCUGGUGUAGCGGUGAAAUGCGCAGAUAUCAGGAGGAACACCGAUGGCGAAGGCAGGUCUCUGGGCAUUAACUGACGCUGAGGAGCGAAAGCAUGGGGAGCGAACAGGAUUAGAUACCCUGGGUAGUCCAUGCCGUAAACGUUGGGCACUAGUGUGGGGGACAUUCCACGUUUUCCGCGCCGUAGCUAACGCAUUAAGUGCCCCGCCUGGGGAGUACGGCGCAAGGCUAAACUCAAAGGAAUUGACGGGGGCCCGCACAAGCGCGGAGCA
rnacentral:rRNA from 1 species